AGUGAACGCUGGCGGCAGGCCUAAUACAUGCAAGUCGAACGGCAGCACAGCAGAGCUUGCUCUGUGGGUGGCGAGUGGCGGACGGGUGAGGAAUACAUGGGAAUCUGCCCAGUCGUGGGGGAUAACGUAGGGAAACUUACGCUAAUACCGCAUGCGCCCUUCGGGGGAAAGCCGGGGACCUUCGGGCCUGGCGCGAUUGGAUGAGCCCAUGUCGGAUUAGCUAGUUGGCGGGGUAACGGCCCACCAAGGCGACGAUCCGUAGCUGGUCUGAGAGGAUGAUCAGCCACACUGGGACUGAGACACGGUCCAGACUCCUACGGGAGGCAGCAGUAGGGAAUAUUGGACAAUGGGCGCAAGCCUGAUCCAGCCAUGCCGCGUGAGUGAAGAAGGCCUUCGGGUUGUAAAGCUCUUUUGUCCGGAAAGAAAAGCAUCCAGUUAAUACCUGGGUGUUCUGACGGUACCGGAAGAAUAAGCACCGGCUAACUUCGUGCCAGCCGCCGCCGUAAGAC
rnacentral:rRNA from 1 species